ensembl:lncRNA
CUGGGCCACCUGGCCGGCCCCUCAUUAUUUCUUAAUAAGAUAAACUAUACUCACAAUGCUGAAUGCCAGAGGAAUUAAGAAUACAAUUGUCGAUACUAAACUUCCAUUGUCACGGACAAAUCUUCUUUACAGAGUUUAUAAAUACAUUUCGAAAAUCUCACUGUCAGUACUUUUUUUUUCCAACUCUUUCAAUAAAGCCUAGAGUUAAAAAAAGAAAAAAAAAAAAGGAUGGCGCCCUCCGGUGGGGGCGCGGCACAAGGAGAGCACGAAGAUGGCGUCUACCGGCCUCGUCCGCAGAGCAGGAGGCCUCCAGAUACUUGCCAGACCAGGUGCCUGCCCCUCAGGCCAAGGCUCCAAGACCAGGAAAUGAGCCUCUUUCAGUCUGGGCGCCUCUCCUGGCCGAUUCUGCACUGGGCCCGGGAGCAGGCUCCUGGAUUUAUGAAGUUGGAGUCGGUGUUCAGAGUCCACAUUUUAUGAUGUCGAGAGUUGGCGUUGUUUCGUCUUUCCCCAUGACCUGUUUUAACGGUGCCCAGUUGCAACUUGUCACAAAGAAGUCUUCCUCCCACAGAGGCCAGGGAUACGAUGAAGUCACACGCAGGGAGCACCCGAGUAAGAAUUGCUCAGAAGCAAAUAUGGUUCUGAAGAUGUGGUGUGACUAGAGGACAGAAGCCUGACUCCCUGCCAGGAUGGAGAUUGUUCCCAUUAGUCCUCAUGGGCAUGCUUAUGGGCUAAUAUAGCCCUCGAAAUCACCUUCUGGCAUUGAAAAUUCUGCCUUGGGGCUUCUAAAGCACUGGAAAGUCUGCAGGGACCCCUCUCCUCCAGGCCAGUUGAAUCGAUUCCCUGGAUCUUUAGAGGAAUAAGAAACGCACCCUGACAGUAAUUCCCUGCAUUGGGUACACCAGCGCUGCACUCGGCAAUUGAAUGUUACGUGUGGAUUUUAGUUUAUAUUAUUUAAAACAUACACAUCCGUACCUAUCAGAAUGUCCUUCUUUUCACUGUUAGUUGCAAAGGUGAUACGUGUUAAAGGUGACCUGUGUUAUGGCAAUGAAACCACAAAUACAGUUCAGCAUGAUGGCGUUGUGGUGUGGUGCCAGCGCACUGAUACGAGUGCCAGAAGCCUUGCUCCUUAGCUUUGUGACCUCGUGCCUGGCUGGAUUGUACAAAAACUUAAAUCCAAAUAUCAAAUUCCUCUUAUUCUUAGCAUAUUCUCUUAAGAUAUUCUUCUCUGUGGAAGCAGAAAUUUUCUCGGAGUUUUCUGGUAACAUUUUUUUUUUUUUGCAACUUCCAAUUUGACUUGAGACAAAAAUUUAUGAUCUUAUAGAAACAAAGAAACCAUCUUUAGGAAGAAUACACUUGCCCGUGGCUUCACCAAAACUUCGAAGAAAGAUACUGCCCAAGUACAAAACAUGGCCGGAGUGCCUCCUCCCUUUCCCACUGCUGGAGCUGCACAUUGGCCUCGGGGGCUGAUGUGGCUGCGGAGGCAAGAGCUCAUGUCGUCCCUCACACUCGUGAGUCCUUGGAGAGCUGGGGCUCAGCCACACACGAUGACCUACAGACGCUGGAAUACUGGCCCCAUUGUUUGUGUACACGAGUGACUCUGCACAGUCCUCUGCUAGAACUUUCUACAGUAUAUCAGAGUAAAACAAAAUAAGUAAACUGGGCGUUUCAUAUUAAAAUGGUUAGUAAGCAUUUGAGAAGUUGUGUUCAUAUACUGCUAAGUGGGAAUGAAAGGUUACAAAACAGUGUGUGCCAUACAAUUCUGUUUUUAUUUAAAAAUACACAAAGAAGAAAAGACUAGCAGGAGAUAAAGCAAAAUGUUCAUAACAGCUUUGUCUUGCGUCAUUACAAUGAUAUAAGAAUGACACAAAAAUUCUCAUUCAUUUCCUUUAUAUCCUUCCAGUGUUUCUUUAUGAAAAUAAAUGGAAAUACAAUA